UCAACCGUCGACGCGCUUCGGAAACUGGGGGACUUGAGGGCAGGAGAGGCGAGCGGAAUUCCCGGUGUAGCGGUGAAAUGCGUAGAGAUCGGGAAGAACACCAGUGGCGAAGGCGGCUCGCUGGACUGGCCCUGACGCUGACGCGCGAAAGCGUGGGGAGCGAACGGGAUUAGAUACCCCGGUAGUCCACGCCGUAAACGAUGGGCACUAGGUGUGGGAGGUAUCGACCCCUCCCGUGCCGGAGUUAACACACUAAGUGCCCCGCCUGGGGAGUACGGCCGCAAGGUUGAAACUCAAAGGAAUUGACGGGGGCCCGCACAAGCAGUGGAGCAUGUGGUUUAAUUCGACGCAACGCGAAGAACCUUACCCGGGCUUGACAUCCCCGGAACACCCGAGAGAUCGGGUGGCUCUACGGAGCCGGGAGACAGGUGCUGCAUGGUUGUCGUCAGCUCGUGUCGUGAGAUGUUGGGUUAAGUCCCGCAACGAGCGCAACCCUUGUCCCGUGUUACCAGCGUAAAGGCGGGGACUCACGGGAGACUGCCGGUGACAAACCGGAGGAAGGUGGGGAUGACGUCAAAUCAUCAUGGCCCUUAUGUCCGGGGCUACACACGUGCUACAAUGGCCGGCACAGCGGGAUGCGAAGGGGCGACCCGGAGCGAAUCCCUGAAAGCCGGUCCCAGUUCGGAUCGCAGGCUGAAACCCGCCUGCGUGA
rnacentral:rRNA from 1 species